GACACACCUUUGUUGCUGAACACACAGGACUGAGCUCACACAUAGCACACUGGAGAGUAGGACGAGCCUCGAGUCCAUCAAAUUGGUGACCCCAACGUGAUGGAGAUGGAGAAGUGACGGGACAAAAGACAUUCAACAGCGGAGGACAGCAGUAUCGUGACAUUUGCCGCGGCCUAAAAAGAAGCUUUCUCCAAACAGGUGACCACAGCUCGGGAGGGAGCAGAAGGGAAAGACCCCCCAGCAUCAGAGUGGGUCCUGCUCAAGGUGAUCAAACGAAAGUGGUCAGAGCCAAGGUGUACUGGUCCCCACAAAGUCGUGGAACGGACAUCCCACGCCGUCAAACUCCAGGGAAAAGGUGACACAUGGUAUCACUGGAGUCAGUGUGCAGUGGCAGAGACACCUGCCCGAACACUGGAGGACAUAAGAGACACUAAAGAUUAAAAAAAAAAAAAAAAACACAGCUUACUCACACAGACAUUUAUUCAUUUAGCUUAGCAUAAGUGUGGAAGAGAUAUCCUGUGAUCAAUGUGAACGUUUGAAGCUCCUUUGAAGCAACAUUGUGCCCAGAGUACGUUUGAGUAAUAUAAAGCCAGGAUACAAGAAAGACUCGCUUGCAGCACAUUUACACUCCAUAUUUACUCUUAUAUUUUACACGUUUAUAUAUACCUUUUUGCAAUACAAAAUAAAGAAAUGAAAUUGUUGGGAUUAGAACCACGCCACCAUAAGUGGUGUGUGUUGGCAGUUGUUGUGUUAACCUGUGUUAUUGUUUUACCUCUGUUGUAUUAUGAGUCUUCCCUCAGAGACAAAGCCAUAGAACCACCACAAAACCAAACCAGGAGAAACGCACCAGGGAGUGGAACGUCAGACUCCUGCAUAGCUAAGUAUGGUGGAGUAGAAUUGACAUACAUCAUGGGGCAAAGUACAGGGUUCCAGUUUGACUUGUGUUCAUUACAAUGUUCUUAGACUGGCCAACAGCAUUAGGGACACAGUCGGAGGACUCUCUGAACAACUGGCAGCCACCUCCCUGAUGACAGUACAGAAUCGAAUUGCAUUAGACAUGCUUUUGGCGGAGAAAGGGGGUGUCUGCUCUAUGUUCCAGGGCCUCUGCUGCACCUUCAUCCCAAAUAACACAGCUCCAGACGGGUCAGUAACUAAGGCGCUAGAAGGGCUGCACACGCUCUCUGAGGAAAUGCAUGAACACUCAGGUAUUGAUAAACCCCUGGGUGGUAUCUUCAAGCAGUGGUUCGGUAAGUGGAAAGAUUUAGUGGUAUCGGUAUUCUUGUCUCAGGUGGGAAUGCUCACGGUGUUAGCAUUAUGUGGUUGUUGUAUCCCAUGUAUCCGGUCCCUCUGUGAAAGAAUCAUAGUGUCAGCUGUGGAGAGAAAACAUCCACAGCCUCCACCAUAUCAGAAGACUCAAAUGGAGACGGCCACCCUGUUAGGAGGGCCGCCUACUGAUUCAGAUUCGGACUCAGACUCAGGAGAAGACAAGGUGUGAGUGGUCUCAUUGUGUAUGAGACUACAAGGGGGAGUUAUAACUUUUUGUUUCAAAAGAAACAAAAAGUGCAGUAAUCACAAGACCUAAAAAGGGGGACCUGGAUACAUUGGGACUGAAAAAAGUGGCCUCAGUCCUAUGAGGCCAAAAGGGGGACUGUUGGGAACAGAAUGAUUUUAUGUGUUUUACUAUAAGUUAUGUUUCACUAUAUAUGUUUUAGAUGUGUGAACAAUGAGAAUACUGAGAUGAUUUCAGCUGAUCUGAAUGUGAUUGUGUUUUCUUUCUGCAAAAGAAGUGGAGAGGUACAGGAGAGGAAGAGACAUAAGUCUGAGGAGCACAUACAGCAAUGCUUAGAUAAUUAGUUUCAUAUAUGUUAAAAAGAAUAGAAAGUGAUGUACAGAUAGUAAGGUACAGCAUAUGUAGGGAGUUGUGUUGUUCUCUUGUCUUUCAAAACAGGAACCACGCCCCCACCGCCAGCGGGAAGGAGUCAGAUUAACAUGAGGCAGGGGUGUGGUGUGGUGAAGGAGGAAGUGGAACCGCCAAUGAGAAGAGGACAACGCCUCACGUGCACAAUGACACUCUGUUACGCUCAAAUAUACUGGGUCAGGGAAAGGACAGGAGGUCAGACUUCGUGAACUGACACACCUUUGUUGCUUGUCAGGGAAAUAAUUUGAGACCCAGAGCUCUGUAAUUUUAUUCCUUUACUGCUUAAUAAAC